UUCCGAUGGUGAACCUGCGGAGGGAUCAUUGCUGGAACGCGCUUCGGCGCACCCAGAAACCCUUUGUGAACUUAUACCUAUCUGUUGCCUCGGCGCAGGCCGGCCUCUUCACUGAGGCCCCCUGGAAACAGGGAGCAGCCCGCCGGCGGCCAACUAAACUCUUGUUUCUAUAGUGAAUCUCUGAGUAAAAAACAUAAAUGAAUCAAAACUUUCAACAACGGAUCUCUUGGUUCUGGCAUCGAUGAAGAACGCAGCGAAAUGCGAUAAGUAAUGUGAAUUGCAGAAUUCAGUGAAUCAUCGAAUCUUUGAACGCACAUUGCGCCCUCUGGUAUUCCGGAGGGCAUGCCUGUUCGAGCGUCAUUUCAACCCUCAAGCCUGGCUUGGUGAUGGGGCACUGCCUUCUAACGAGGGCAGGCCCUGAAAUCUAGUGGCGAGCUCGCUAGGACCCCGAGCGUAGUAGUUAUAUCUCGUUCUGGAAGGCCCUGGCGGUGCCCUGCCGUUAAACCCCCAACUUCUGAAAAUUUGACCUCGGAUCAGGUAGGAAUACCCGCUGAACUUAAGCAUAUCAAUAAGCGGAGGA
rnacentral:rRNA from 1 species